AAUGUUCUUGUUAUCUUUAGUUCUUUACUGAUAUUAAGAAAAAAUCUAACUAUUUAUUUUUUUCUUGACCAAAUUGAAACCGAAUCUGAUAUCAAACUGAUAUGAGUUUGGAUUAUGAAUGAUAUAUGAAAAUACGUCUACAAACAUAACCAUGCACGAAUGUAUGAAUUCUAGUCUUUAUUAUACGAUACUCAUCUAUUUUGUUUCCAUUUAUCUGAUAAUAAUAAUAUCAAUUGUUAAUGGAGAUUGACCAGGAGUUCUACAAAACCCAAUAUCCUUCAAUUAUAUGCAAUCCAUCAUCAUACAAUGUUUCCCUUUGUGAUCUCAUCUCUCCUUUCCAUGUAUCACUUUCAGUAUCACCAGACUAGUCCAGUUGUGCCUCAUACUGGUAGCCAAAGCUAAGUUCCCUUUGGCCAAUUUCUGAUCUCGAAUAUUUUUUUCUUUGUUGAUUACGUUAUCUUCUUCACCUGUGUAAACCAUCACACUAGAGUUGAACGUAUUGUUGUAGCCAUACUUUUCUGAUGCAACGUUGUUUUAUGUGAGCCUAACAUCUCCGAUUUUUAUGUAAUCGAUCAUGCAAGCCCUAUAACAUCUCCGAUUUUUAUCUUCUUCACCUGUGUAAACCAUCACACUAGAGUUGAACGUAUUGUUGUAGCCAUACUUUUCUGAUACAACGUUGUUUUACGUGAGCCUAACAUCUCCGAUUUUUAUGUAAUCGAUCAUGCACAUUGCCUUAAUGUGAAGCCCUACAACAUGAAGUUCAGUUUUGUACUGGAAAACACCCCUACUUGUAUUCUAAGAACUAUUUCAAUUCUUUUUU
rnacentral:sRNA from 1 species